rnacentral:misc_RNA from 1 species
UGGUAUCGUGGUGUUCGCCGGCAUGGGCUGAUCAUGGGAUGUUCUGUGACAGGUGUUAAACCUGCAUAUGGAGAUUCUCCUUUACAGCUUGGUCCAAAGCAAGAGGACGUGGCAAAGCCGGUGAACCCAUUUGUGUUCCUUCUGCGUUUUAUUUUGGGUGCCAUGGCAGCAACAUACUAUGUACUGGUGCCUAUCUACAUGUGGCUCAAAGAUCA